rnacentral:miRNA from 1 species
UAUUAUGCUCCGUUUAUCCGCA